GCUCAACUGCUGAGCCACCCAGGCAUCCCGUAAACUUUCUGUAAAAGGCCAGAUGGAUUGCUUAUCCUGGGGGAAGCUAGCACCAUGUCAUGAGGCCCAUGUAGUGAGGGAGUGAUGCCAGGCGACAGCCAUGAGUCUUCUUAGAAGCAGAUCACACCCCCUUCCUUGGGUCAGAUCACUCACUGACACAGGCGCCCCAGGAGGAGCAUCGUGAAGUUGAGUGAGGCAGCAUCUUCCGUUUGGGCAGCGUCCGAAGAUGAGUGCCAGUGUUGACUGUCUCCAUGAAACUCUCAUAGUAGGGGUGCCUGGCUGGCUCAGUGGUUAAGCGUCUGCCUGCCGGCCCAGGGGGUGAUCCUGGGGUCCCGGGAUCGAGUCCCAUAUUGGCCUCCCUGCGUGGAGCCUGCUUCUCCUUCUGUCUG